GGCUUCGUAGCUCAGUUGGCCAGAGCGUUGGCUUUAUAAGGCCUCCUUCUUGCUGGCGUGGGUUCGAAUCCCACAGCGGCCG
rnacentral:tRNA from 1 species